rnacentral:rRNA from 1 species
GUGGGCCUGCAGGUCGACGAUUGUAUCCACGAUUAGAGUUUGAUCCUGGCUCAGAACGAACGCUGGCGGCAGGCUUAACACAUGCAAGUCGAACGCCCCGCAAGGGGAGUGGCAGACGGGUGAGUAACGCGUGGGAACGUACCUUUCGCUUCGGAAUAUUCCCGGGAAACUGGGAGCAAUGCCGAAUACGCCGUAUUGGGAAAGAUUUAUCGGCGAAAGAUCGGCCCGCGUUAGAUUAGCUAGUUGGCGGUGUAAUGGACCACCAAGGCUACGAUCUAUAGCUGGUCUGAGAGGAUGAUCAGCCACACUGGGACUGAGACACGGCCCAGACUCCUACGGGAGGCAGCAGUGGGGAAUCUUGGACAAUGGGCGCAAGCCUGAUCCAGCCAUGCCGCGUGAGUGAAGAAGGCCUUAGGGUUGUAAAACUCUUUCGCCGGAGAAGAUAAUGACGGUAUCCGGAGAAGAAGCCCCGGCUAACUUCGUGCCAGCAGCCGCGGUAAUACGAAGGGGGCUAGCGUUGUUCGGAAUUACUGGGCGUAAAGCGCACGUAGGCGGGUUUGUAAGUAGGGGGUGAAAUCCCAGGGCUCAACCCUGGAACUGCCUUCUAGACUGCAAGCCUGGAGGUCAGGAGAGGCGAGUGGAAUACCGAGUGUAGAGGUGAAAUUCGUAGAUAUUCGGUGGAACACCAGUGGCGAAGGCGACUCGCUGGACUGAUACUGACGCUGAGGUGCGAAAGCGGGGGGAGCAAACAGGAUUAGAUACCCUGGUAGUCCACGCCUUAAACGAUGAGAGCUAGUUGUCAGUAAGCAUGCUUAUUGGUGACGCAGCUAACGCAUUAAGCUCUCCGCCUGGGGAGUACGGCCGCAAGGUUAAAACUCAAAGAAAUUGACGGGGGCCCGCACAAGCGGUGGAGCAUGUGGUUUAAUUCGAAGCAACGCGCAGAACCUUACCCACCUUUGACAUCCCGUGCUAUCUAGAGAGAUCUAGAGUCCCUUCGGGGCGCGGAGACAGGUGCUGCAUGGCUGUCGUCAGCUCGUGUCGUGAGAUGUUGGGUUAAGUCCCGCAACGAGCGCAACCCUCGCUUCUAGUUGCCAGCAUUUAGUUGGGCACUCUAGAGGAACUGCCUGCGCCAAGCAGGAGGAAGGCGGGGAUGACGUCAAGUCCUCAUGGCCCUUACAGGUGGGGCUACACACGUGCUACAAUGGCGGUGACAAAGGGAUAAUCCCUAAAAGCCGUCUCAGUUCGGAUUGUCCUCUGCAACUCGAGGGCAUGAAGUUGGAAUCGCUAGUAAUCGCGGAUCAGCACGCCGCGGUGAAUACGUUCCCGGGCCUUGUACACACCGCCCGUCACACCAUGGGAGUUGGUUCUACCUGAAGACAGUUUCCCAACCGCAAGGAGGGGGCUGGCCACGGUAGGGUCAGCGACUGGGGUGAAGUCGUAACAAGGUAGCCGAAUCGUGGAUACAAU